AUUGAACGCUGGCGGCAUGCUUUACACAUGCAAGUCGAACGGCAGCGCGGGCUUCGGCCUGGCGGCGAGUGGCGAACGGGUGAGUAAUGCAUCGGAACGUGCCCAGUAGUGGGGGAUAGCCCGGCGAAAGCCGGAUUAAUACCGCAUACGACCUGAGGGUGAAAGCGGGGGACCGAAAGGCCUCGCGCUAUUGGAGCGGCCGAUGUCGGAUUAGCUAGUUGGUGGGGUAAAGGCUUACCAAGGCGACGAUCCGUAGCUGGUCUGAGAGGACGACCAGCCACACGGGGACUGAGACACGGCCCAGACUCCUACGGGAGGCAGCAGUGGGGAAUGUUGGACAAUGGGGGCAAACCUGAUCCAGCCAUGCCGCGUGCGGGAAGAAGGCCUUCGGGUUGUAAACCGCUUUUGUUCGGGAAGAAAUCCUCUGGGCUAAUACCCCGGGGGGAUGACGGUACCGGAAGAAUAAGCACCGGCUAACUACGUG
rnacentral:rRNA from 1 species